UACGAAGGGGGCUAGCGUUGCUCGGAAUGACUGGGCGAAAGGGCGCGUAGGCGGAUGGCACAGUCAGAUGUGAAAUUCCCGGGCUUAACCUGGGGGCUGCAUUUGAUACGUGUUGUCUUGAGUUCGGAAGAGGGUCGUGGAAUUCCCAGUGUAGAGGUGAAAUUCGUAGAUAUUGGGAAGAACACCGGUGGCGAAGGCGGCGACCUGGUCCGACACUGACGCUGAGGCGCGAAAAGCGUGGGGGAGCAAACAGG
rnacentral:rRNA from 1 species